rnacentral:rRNA from 1 species
AUUGAACGCUGGCGGCAGGCUUAACACAUGCAAGUCGAGCGGAGAUGAGGUGCUUGCACCUUAUCUUAGCGGCGGACGGGUGAGUAAUGCUUAGGAAUCUGCCUAUUAGUGGGGGACAACAUUCCGAAAGGAAUGCUAAUACCGCAUACGUCCUACGGGAGAAAGCAGGGGAUCCUCGGACCUUGCGCUAAUAGAUGAGCCUAAGUCGGAUUAGCUAGUUGGUGGGGUAAAGGCCUACCAAGGCGACGAUCUGUAGCGGGUCUGAGGGGAUGAUCCGCCACACUGGGACUGAGACACGGCCCAGACUCCUACGGGAGGCAGCAGUGGGGAAUAUUGGACAAUGGGGGGAACCCUGAUCCAGCCAUGCCGCGUGUGUGAAGAAGGCCUUAUGGUUGUAAAGCACUUUAAGCGAGGAGGAGGCUACUGAGACUAAUACUCUUGGAUAGUGGACGUUACUCGCAGAAUAAGCACCGGCUAACUCUGUGCCAGCCGCCGCUGUAAGAC